rnacentral:rRNA from 1 species
UACGGUAGGGUGCAAGCGUUAAUCGGAAUUACUGGGCGUAAAGCGUGCGCAGGCGGUUUUGUAAGUCUGUCGUCGGAAAUCCCCGGGCUCAACCUGGGAAUUGCGAUGGAGACUGCAAGGCUAGAAUCUGGCAGAGGGGGGUAGAAUUCCACGUGUAGCAGUGAAAUGCGUAGAGAUGUGGAGGAACACCGAUGGCGAAGGCAGCCCCCUGGGUCAAGAUUGACGCUCAUGCACGAAAGCGUGGGGAGCAAACAGG